AUGAAGUGCUCUUUUUCUGUGUGCGUGUGUUGAUGAAAUCAGAGCAAAGGAACAGGAAGCUUCGGGAAGAGGAGGAACAAGAGUCACACGAUCUGCGUGCGGUGCAGCCGUCGCAGCUUUCACCUCCAGAAGAGUCGCUGCGCUUCAUCUGGCUGCCCUUCCACCCGUAUCAGAAAAUACAAUUGGAAUGAGAAGGCGAUCCAGAGGAAGACUACUGGUACCGGUAGAAUGAGUAUUUGCGUUACGUUGCGGUCCGCUUCAAGACCAACUUCAGAGAAAGUACUCAGGCAGCCCCGAGGAAGAAAUGCAACAAUCUUUAAUAGUAAUUGUU